GAUCAUGGCUCAGAUUGAACGCUGGCGGCAGGCCUAACACAUGCAAGUCGAGCGGUAACAGAGAGUAGUUUACUAUUCUGCUGACGAGCGGCGGACGGGUGAGUAAUGCCUAGGAAUCUGCCUAGUAGUGGGGGAUAACUUGCCGAAAGGUAAGCUAAUACCGCAUACGUCCUACGGGAGAAAGGAGGGGACCUUCGGGCCUUUCGCUAUUAGAUGAGCCUAGGUCGGAUUAGUUAGUUGGUGAGGUAAUGGCUCACCAAGACCGCGAUCCGUAACUGGUCUGAGAGGAUGAUCAGUCACACUGGAACUGAGACACGGUCCAGACUCCUACGGGAGGCAGCAGUAGGGAAUAUUGGGCAAUGGUCGGAAGACUGACCCAGCCAUGCCGCGUGAAGGAUGAAGGGUCUACGACUUGUAAACUUCUUUAGCUAGGGAAGAAAAAGAGAGUGCGCUCUUUAUUGACGGUACCUAGAGAAUAAGCACCGGCUAACUACGUG
rnacentral:rRNA from 1 species